CGACCUCAGUUCAGGUGAGAUUACCGGCUGAAUUUAAGCAUAUAACUAAGCCGAGGAAAAGAAACUAAC
rnacentral:rRNA from 1 species